AAGAGCCGUAUGAGAUGAGAGUCUCACGUACGGAUCUGUGAGGGUCUGAGGGGGAGGUUCCCUCGGGCUACUCGAC
rfam:Desulfobacteraceae bacterium 4572_187 ex4572_187_scaffold_27697, whole genome shotgun sequence.